rnacentral:sRNA from 1 species
GUCCACUGAGGUUUUCUAUAUUACAGAGAAAAAUUACCUGAAGAGUAUACCACCCAUUAAAAAGGGUGAAAUUAACUUGUUGUUUAAAAGACCUUUGAUUAAUUGGGAAAAUAAGAAUAUACAAUAAGGUAAGUAUUUAUAACCUGUCAGUAUCAAAUGGGAAUAAUACAUCCAAAACAGACCACAUUAUUACAAGCAUCACCAUUUACCUUGCUGAUGGUGAAAUCACAUAAAAAUGAACGGGAGACAAAUCUAAGGUAUGACUUUUAGCCCUUUAAUAUUCAUUUUGCAGACUGUUCACAACCAAGUUUUAAUCUGGAAUUGCUUUCCUUUGCCACCCAGCAAGCUUCUGAGUUGCUUCCUUACGCUGUUCUUUGGAAUGUGCCCCGGGAAUGUAAACUCAUUUUAAUAUUGGCCUAAGUAAAAUAGGAUUAUAAAGGCAAAUCUGUGGCUCAAGUUCCCAUAAUGCAUUUCAAAAGCAAGUUAAAUUAUUUUGGGAUUAUCCUGUUUGGGAUAACAUUAUUCCUUUCUACUAGCAUAGUUAAUCAAGAAUUGACAAAUGUAUUUUGUGAAGUAAACAUGAAAUUACACAAUUAUUUGUCACUUUUUAUUAAGUUACCAAGCAUUCACUUAAUGCUAGUGUAGGUGUUAUAGGAAAGCAAUGGCAAUAUGAAUCAAAUUUUAGUAGAGGCUCUGUCAUUUAAAAAAAGGAAAGAGAAAGAAAAACAACUCCAAUAAAAGCAAAUGUUCCUAAUCUUAGUAUAAUGCCAAUAGGGUAGUUAUAUGGAGCUUAAUUUGCAGGUUUCUGGGAAAAUAUAUAUGAAAUCCAGUGUAUCAUAUAAGACAGCAAGAAGUCCCUUUUAAAGCACAUGCAAUGUGCUAUAUAUGGACAUAUGAAAAUAUUUUUGGUAUUAAAAUAGUAAACUAAACUAGGUGAAAUACCUUCCUAAUCUUAAAUAUCUAUUUUAAAAUGUAGCUGAUAUCUGAUAACACUGUAAUACUGGUACUGGUCUAGCCUAAUUUUGCAGCGAAUUAACAGUUACUAAUAUGCAGUCUCACAGUUAACUGUGGUUAUCACAGACUCCUUUCUUCCUGUGUAGAACUAGAUACAUAAAAUGUAAAAUUUCCUAAACCCACUGCUGACAGGAAAGCUUAAUAUCUUUACUAAUCUAUGGCAUUUUUUUGAGACAGGGUCUCACUCUGUCACCCAGGCUAGAGUGUAGUUGCGGGACAGGGUUUCACCAUGUUGCCCAGGCUGUUCUUGAAAUCCUGGCCUCAAGGGAUCCACCUGCCUUGGCCUCCCAAAGUGCUGGGAUUAUAGGCAUGAGCCACCAUGGCUAGCAUUUUUUUAACCUUCUAAUCUACAAGAACAAACCUAUACAUUGAAUCUUAAUGAAGAGACACAACUAGUAAGAGGGAAAUGUACUGUUCCCACUCAGUGCUUCAUCCAGCUGCAAAUUUGUUACAUUUUAAAAAUCCUUGAGCCCAGGAGUCUGGGUGGGGCUGCAGUGAGCCAUAAUGAUGCCACUGCUCUUCACCCUGGGCAGCAUAGUGAGACCUCAUCUCUUUAAAAAAAUUGUAAAACCUUUGAUGAGAAAAUGAAUACUUAAAAUGUAUAUUUCCAGUUUAAUAGACAAUCUUGUACUUGAAGCCCACUCUGGGGGAUGUUUUCCAUGGAUUCUUUUAGGAUGUCUCAAAUAAAAUAGAAUACUUGGUACUUUGUGGUGACCUGAUCUUAAGGUAACACUGGCAUCCCAUAAUCAAUUUGCUGAUCAUUUAUUCCUAUCCCUUCUCUGGUCCAGCACCUUCUUCUAUGUAUCUGAUCACCCCCUGCCACACUCCCCAUUAUGUACCCACUCAAAAGCAGAAAGCCAAGAGAAUAAUGCUGGAACUUUUUUCUUUUAUUAAACAGAUGGGAAUUUCAAGUCUCCUUUGCAGGUAUGACUUUGUUCUAUUAGAAGAAAUUCAAUGAUUGAGUCUAGAGACCAUCACCAAGGCUGUACUUAAAUCCUAUGACUUGUGCCACAUAACCUGGUGAAGGCAGAGUCAAUCAUGUAGAAGAAGAAGAAAAAAAUCUGUUUCUCUGCACAAUACCUGGCUCACUUGUGGGCUCCACUGGAAGAAAGUAGAACAGUGCACGCACGUGCAAAGAUGCUGUCCACCAGAAAUGUCAGUGACAGCCUGGGGGCAAGAAGAAUAACUGCCCUUGUGUCUUUGCCCAGCUGAUAUUCCUCACAGGCAGCCAGCAGAGUUGAUUAACCAUGUCCAUGCCCAGGCAGUCUCCUCUGUAUAUCUCUCAAAAACUUCUAGUUAGAUUUUGUUUUGUUUUGUUUUGUGUUGUUUUGUUUUAAAACAGGGUGGGGGUGACAGCUCUCCACAUUAAUUCUGCAAGUAACUUUUGUUUUAUUAUCUUUUUCCUAGAGUGAUUAUAUUGCCACAAAAACACAUUUUAGAAGAAAAGUGAUGCUUAUGGAAUUUUAUCUUCGUCUACUCCAGAUCUGCCUAAAGGAAAGAAAACUCAGAGGCUUCUGAGUAGAAAGCAACCCAAAUUUCUACAAGCCUACAAGUGGACUCUGGCAAUUGAAUGAUCCUAUUCAUGCAGAUCAUUCAUACUGCUGCUUAUGGAUCCAGUGAUUUCUAAUUAACAAUAUUUACACUGUGCUUUGUUUUUUGUUUUCUGGUUUUCCUCCCCAUCUGUCCCUUUGAAAGGAAACAGAUACUAUACAAGUGAGCAUCUCAUAACUCUUUCCCUCUUUAAAAAAAAGUAACUUAGAAUACGUAUAAAUUUGGUCAAUGCCAAUUUUAAUAAUGUAAAAUAUUUAGAUUCAAUUUUGAAGUUGAAAAACUUUAAACCAGGGCACAUAAAGAAAAAACAGCUGUCAUAAUUGGAAGGAAGGUAUGAUCUGGAAUCUUUUUUCCGAGUAUUACACACACAAAACAUUUCUUGAUCAAUGAAUUAAAUGUCAACUGAACUGAUAUCUUGAUGGGGCAUUACCAGUAUUUUAAAGGCAGGACUAAAGGGCAGAUUAUUUCAAGUUUUGCUCAUUAGCAAAACUGCAACAUUCUGCUCAUGUUAUAUGUCAAUGAAACUAAUAUCUUGAUUGAGCAUUUCCAACAUUUUAAAGGCAGAACUGAGAAACAGCUGUCUAUUUGUUCACAUACAACACUGUGAUGUUCUGCCUGAAAAUCGAUUGAGUAUUUCCAAACCUAUUAUUUUUCAUUUAUUGUGAAACCUACAUUUACCUCCUAAAAGAAGCAAAGCUCUUCAAAAGUCUCUUCCCAAGGCCCCUCCCUGCUUCUCUGGGCCUCUCCCCACUUUCAACCUCUAUUCUACUUUUUCUUAUUCUUUCUCCAUUUUCCCCAAUGCACACUCUUCCUCUUAUGCCCAUGGCUACUAUAAAGAGAUCAAUUUCCCAUAUUCAAGAAAUUAGUGUUUACUUAUCAAUCAAUAUUCUGACAAAAACUUAAGCCAAAAAGAACCUCUUAUAAGGCCUUGUUUCCUUCUGGAUAUUGAGCCAAUAUAAGAUGUACCAAAUUAAAAAAAAAAUAAUCAGAGCAAGCUCCCCCCCGUUCUAUUUUUGCUUGCCUCUGAUGUAAACUGAAUUAAGAUUUUAGGUACCUGGACCUUUGAGAACAUGACACUAGCAAGGUGGUGACCACAGAGAAUAGGUACAAAGGUCUUGAAGCUUGCUUAGAGCUUUGUUCCGUGGUGGCACACAAAUCUUGGCUUGCUGUACCAUCAUUGGCAAACCUCAUCAUAUCACAGUUGGGUGUGUUUGUAUGUGUGUGAGCACUAGUGUGUGUGUGUACAUAUUCGUGUGUAUGCACACCUUUGUGUACCUGUGUACAUGUGAUUGUAGAUGUACCUGUUGUGUGUAAACUCUGUUAAAAUGAAAUUUGCUUCGCAUUUAAUGUGCAACUUUGAAGUAGUGUAAUAUUUAUCUAAAGGUUUUCACUACUUGGUUUUAAUGUCUUUGAACGUGUACUUCUAUCUUCAAGCAAGCUUAUAGUACGUGUUGCUAAACUAACUUUUCCAAAGAACCGAGUUGACUUCUAUUUUUCCUUGCCUACCAACCAAAGGGAUGGUGGGCUCUUUUUUCCCUCUUGUAAAUUGUGCUGAGGAGAGGACGUGGCUAUGAGAUCAGUCAUUGUUCCAGUUACUGGUCACUGCUAGGGCAUCAACUUUAUCAGUUCCUUCAGACUCUUCUCUUUUUCCAACCUAAUCAAAUAACGCAGUGUGGCUUUUGUUCAUUAUAACAACGCGCUCUUUAGGCAACUUUUUUUCAAGCCUUCUGUCACCAUUUUAUUUUUUCAAGUAAGUUAAGUAAUAAUUGUUCAGAAUUGUGGGAAAAAAGAUUACUUGGGGGAAAAUGCUGUAUCACUUUAUUUGCAUAUUAGGUUCAGAAGCUGCCAGCAGACAGGGUACAGAGGGUACAGCACAGAUGUAACAGUUGCUGAAUAAAUGAAUGAGAAACCUCAUACACAGUAGUACGUAUUAUACAAAUAGUAACAGGUACACAUAGUCACAGGUACUGCAUAACAAAUGCAAUCUUGUUCUCAUUAUUUAUUAGUUUACAGACAAUUAAUUUAUUCAGUAUUGUGCUGGAAGAAUCUUUAUGGAAUAUGUUUACCAACUUAUCACUUACCUUCCAGCUAUCAGUUCAUGCUGCUAAGAAAAAACAAUGAUGGAAUUUUUUUGUGUGUGUGACCUCUACAUUUAAUUUGGUGUCAGGCAUAGUCACUUGGUCGUUAAAAACUGAAACUUUACAGUUCCACCAGCUAAUUACAUCUGCUAUUUCUGCUUCACAGAUAUGCUUUGAGUUGCUUUGGCUUUGUCUUCCUUUGUAAAUACUCUUGUACUUUCUUUUCCUUGUAAACAUCUCGUUUGCAGUUUUGGGAGACGACUUUGCAACUCUGUAUAGUGUUUAUAUAUAUAUGUAUAUCUAUAUAUAUCUGACUUGCCUUUCCAUACAGCUACUCACAAUAAAUGUGUUCAUGUAAA